rnacentral:misc_RNA from 1 species
GAUGAAGAACGUAGCGAAAUGCGAUAAGUAAUGUGAAUUGCAGAAUUCAGUGAAUCAUCGAAUCUUUGAACGCACCUUGCGCCCUUUGGCCAUUCCGAAGGGCAUGCCUGUUUGAGUAUCAUGAACACCUCAACUCUUCAUGGUUUUCCAUGAUGAGCUUGGACUUUGGGGGUCUUGCUGGCCUGUGGGUCGGCUCCUCUCAAAUGAAUCAGCUUGCCGGUUUUUGGUGGGCAUCACAGGUGUGAUAACUAUCUACGCUUGUGGUUUUCCACCAGGGUAACCUUCAGCAGUGGAGGUUCACUGGAGCUUACAAAUGUCUCUCCUCUGUGAGGACAGCCCUUUGAAUGUUUGAUCUCAAAUCAGGUAGGACUACCAGCUGAACUUAAGCAUAUCAAUAAGCGGAGGA